rnacentral:misc_RNA from 1 species
UAGUUGGUGGCCUUUCUGGCAACAAGAGAAGCGUUUGGAUCGCCUUAUUGCUGAGGCUGAUGCCAAUCGCAAGGACGCCGACAAGCAGGGCGCUCUCUUGGCCGAGCUCAAUAAGCACAGCCCUGAGUCUGUAAUCAAGAGGUUUGAACAAAGAGAACAUGCCGUCAACAGUAAAGGAGUCGCAGAAUAUCUUCGAGCGCUUGUGGUUACUAAUGCUAUUACUGAUUAUCUUCCAGAUGAACAAUCUGGAAAGCCAUCCAGUCUUCCUGCCUUGUUACAAGAACUACACCAGCGCGCAACAGCAAACAUGGAUGAGCCAUUUUUGAAUCCUGGC